rnacentral:miRNA from 1 species
CGGCCACAAUUUUCGAUAAUCACCUUUGUAAUUAUACUAAUGUCUAUUAGUAUAAUUACAAAGGUGAUUAUCGAAAAUUGUGGCC